UUGGGAUGCUCAGGGCACAACAGCCGCAGGGUGGCCGGAAAAUCACUGCCUUUGCCCCCCGGUCACGGAGACGGUUAUUGGAGGGAAGUGACCCCGCGGAGGAACAGGAGGAUUGUCUUUCAAACGGAGCCGAUGUGGAGCUUGAAUGUCCCUUGCCACCUUGGCUAUAAAUCAUCCUGCAUGUGAUAAGAUGUGCUUGGAGAGCCAAAAUUCCAGCCUUGGAGAAGCUACUUUGAACUUUCUGGCUUAUGCAGCACAGUACCAUCCAUCUGGAAAUGAGGAAUUUUGGUUUUUUUGGAAGACAG